UACAGAGGGGGCAAGCGUUGUUCGGAAUUACUGGGCGUAAAGGGCGCGUAGGCGGCCUGUUAAGUCGAACGUGAAAUCCCCGGGCUCAACCCGGGAACUGCGUCCGAUACUGGCAGGCUUGAAUUCGGGAGAGGGAUGUGGAAUUCCAGGUGUAGCGGUGAAAUGCGUAGAUAUCUGGAGGAACAUCAGUGGCGAAGGCGACACCCUGGACUCAUACUGACACUGAGGUGCGAAAGCGUGGGGAGCAAACAGG
rnacentral:rRNA from 1 species